UACACUACAAAAAAACGCUCAUUUUAGCUACGGAAUUAGCUACGGAUUUAUUUCCGUAGCUAUUCUGUGACGGAAUCGCUACGGAUUCGUGACGGAUAUAUUUUGUUAAAUUUUCCAACGGAUUUGACAACGGAUUUCCGUAGCAAUUCUUUCGCUACGGAUAUAAUCCGUCACUAAAGUUUUAAAAAAUAGUAAUUUUAUUAAAAAUUCUUAGCUACGGAUUAACCGUAGCUAAAGCCAUAGCUAAACUGAAAUUUUAUCCUUAGCUACGGAUUCUAUCCGUAGCAAAAUCAGCGUGACUUAUUAGCUACGGAAUUUCCGUAGCUAAAUCCACAUAUUUUCAAAUCUAACGUCAAGCUUUUUCGCCCAAUUAAAACCUAGUUUUUUCUCACUAUUCCAGCCGCGACUGGUCUUCCAUUUCUCCCACCGGCGUCGCCACCGUCCUUGCUCGGACGCUCACCGUCGCAGCCGCCGUCGAUUGGGAUUGCACUGCCCUCGCCCAGCCCUACCCCGUCUCGCGACUCCAUAGCUGCAACAAUUGAUAGGCGAUUACUUGGAUGUGGCAAUCACCCUGACUCAGUGAUCCUUGCUGCUGUUGUGUUGCUGAACUUUAUUGUGAGCAUAACCGACCACAUUUCUGUUUUGGUAGAAUCAUAUUUAGCUCAUGUUUGUAAUAUGACCCUUGAGAGGAGCUCCACGAAUGAUGUGAAUUCUACUUGGAAAU